rnacentral:rRNA from 1 species
AACGAACGCUGGCGGCAGGCUUAACACAUGCAAGUCGAGCGCCUCGCAAGAGGAGCGGCAGACGGGUGAGUAACGCGUGGGAACGUACCCUUAUCUUCGGAAUAGCUCUGGGAAACUGGAAGUAAUACCGAAUGUGCCCUUAGGGGGAAAGAUUUAUCGGAUAAGGAUCGGCCCGCGUUGGAUUAGCUAGUUGGUGGGGUAAAGGCCUACCAAGGCGACGAUCCAUAGCUGGUCUGAGAGGAUGAUCAGCCACAUUGGGACUGAGACACGGCCCAAACUCCUACGGGAGGCAGCAGUGGGGAAUAUUGGACAAUGGGCGCAAGCCUGAUCCAGCCAUGCCGCGUGAGUGAUGAAGGCCUUAGGGUUGUAAAGCUCUUUCACCGGAGAAGAUAAUGACGGUAGCCGGAGAAGAAGCCCCGGCUAACUUCGUG